CCGGGGGUGAUGCCGCGCCGGGGACGCCGCUCUCUCCGGAGCGAAGAUCAGCAGCUGGACUGACAAACGAGUGGGAGAGGGGAGGGUAGCUCAUUGGAAGAUCCAUGUUGACAGCCCAGGUAAGGUUUUCUUCAGCUCCACAAACCCACUAUUCCCAGACUGCUGCCAAAAGGAGCUCAUCCUUACAGUCCCACACCUGCCCUCAAUGCAGUGGGGAGACAGGAACCAACAGAUCACCACUGCAGAAGUGGCCAAGCAUGUGCUCCCCAGCAGGAGAAUUAACAGCACAGGUCUAGAUGGAGUUCAAGGAGCAAGCUCCCACAAGGAGCUGUGCAGGACAUUGUCCCAGAGCAUCUGAGUGAGAUCACCCAGCAGGGCACCACACUAAGUGUUCCUGGCUGCACCUAGAAGGAGCAGGCUGAACCACCUUGAUGGCAAUCUCAAAGAAACCAGUGUGUGGAGGUUUAAUAAGACAUGGGGGCCACCAAAAACUCCUCCUGACCCCCAAAUCCUCACCUCUCUGGAGCUUGUAUACUCCUCCUCCCCAAGCAAAUAAAAUGCUGAUGAAAACGA